UACCUGGUUGAUCCUGCCAGUAGGUCAUAUGCUUGUCUCAAAGAUUAAGCCAUGCAAGUCUAAGUACGAGCUCUCGUACAGUGAAACUGCGAAUGGCUCAUUAAAUCAGUUAUGGUUCAUUUGAUCGUACAGUUUACUUGGAUAACUGUGGUAAUUCUAGAGCUAAUACAUGCGAGAAGCGCCGACCUCGCGGGAGGCGUGCAUUUAUCAGACCAAAAACCGGCCGCGUCUUCGGGCGCGUUCGCCUUGGUGACUCUGGAUAACUUUGCGGAUCGCACGGUCUAGCACCGGCGACGGAUCAUUCAAGUGUCUGCCCUAUCAACUUUCGUCGGUACGGUAUUUGCCUACCGAGGUUCUUACGGGUGACGGGGAAUCAGGGUUCGAUUCCGGAGAGGGAGCCUGAGAAACGGCUACCACAUCCAAGGAAGGCAGCAGGCGCGCAAAUUACCCAUUCCCGACGCGGGGAGGUAGUGACGAAAAAUAACAAUGCAGGACUCGUUCGAGGCCCUGUAAUUGGAAUGAGUACACUUUAAAAGCUUUAACGA
rnacentral:ncRNA from 1 species